rnacentral:rRNA from 1 species
UAGGGAAUCUUCGGCAAUGGGGGCAACCCUGACCGAGCAACGCCGCGUGAGUGAAGAAGGUUUUCGGAUCGUAAAGCUCUGUUGUAAGUCAAGAACGGGUGUGAGAGUGGAAAGUUCACACUGUGACGGUAGCUUACCAGAAAGGGACGGCUAACUACGUGCCAGCAGCCGCGGUAAUACGUAGGUCCCGAGCGUUGUCCGGAUUUAUUGGGCGUAAAGCGAGCGCAGGCGGUUUGAUAAGUCUGAAGUUAAAGGCUGUGGCUCAACCAUAGUUCGCUUUGGAAACUGUCAAACUUGAGUGCAGAAGGGGAGAGUGGAAUUCCAUGUGUAGCGGUGAAAUGCGUAGAUAUAUGGAGGAACACCGGUGGCGAAAGCGGCUCUCUGGUCUGUAACUGACGCUGAGGCUCGAAAGCGUGGGGAGCGAACAGGAUUAGAUACCCUGGUAGUCCACGCCGUAAACGAUGAGUGCUAGGUGUUGGAUCCUUUCCGGGAUUCAGUGCCGCAGCUAACGCAUUAAGCACCCCGCCUGGGGGAGUACGACCGCAAGGUUGAAAC